rnacentral:rRNA from 1 species
AGCGAACGCUGGCGGCAGGCUUAACACAUGCAAGUCGAGCGCCCGUAGCAAUACGGGAGCGGCAGACGGGUGAGUAACGCGUGGGAACAUGCCCUUCGGUUCGGAAUAACCCAGGGAAACGUUAGGGCUAAUACCGAAUACGUCCGUGAGGAGAAAGAUUUAUCGCCGAAGGAUUGGCCCGCGUCGGAUUAGCUAGUUGGUGAGGUAACGGCUCACCAAGGCGAUGAUCCGUAGCUGGUCUGAGAGGACGAUCAGCCACACUGGACUGAGACACGGCCCAGACUCCUACGGGAGGCAGCAGUGGGGAAUAUUGGACAAUGGGCGCAAGCCUGAUCCAGCCAUGCCGCGUGAGUGAUGAAGGCCUUA